rnacentral:rRNA from 1 species
CCUACGGGAGGCAGCAGUGGGGAAUAUUGCACAAUGGGCGAAAGCCUGAUGCAGCAACGCCGCGUGAAGGAAGAAGGGUUUCGGCUCGUAAACUUCUAUCAACAGGGACGAAAGAAAUGACGGUACCUGAAUAAGAAGCCCCGGCUAACUACGUGCCAGCAGCCGCGGUAAUACGUAGGGGGCAAGCGUUAUCCGGAAUUACUGGGUGUAAAGGGUGAGUAGGCGGCAUGGUAAGCCAGAUGUGAAAGCCUUGGGCUUAACCCGAGGAUUGCAUUUGGAACUAUCAAGCUAGAGUACAGGAGAGGAAAGCGGAAUUCCUAGUGUAGCGGUGAAAUGCAUAGAUAUUACACAGAACACCGAUUGCGAAGGCAGCUUGCUAGGCCGGAUCUGACACUGAUGCACGAAAGCGUGGGGAUCGAACAGGAUUAGAUACCCUUGUAGUC